rnacentral:rRNA from 1 species
AAGUCGUAACAAGGUCUCCGUUGGUGAACCAGCGGAGGGAUCAUUACCGAGUUUACAACUCCCAAACCCCUGUGAACCAUACCUAUCGUUGCUUCGGCGGGACCGCCCCGGGACUCGCUCCCGGAACCAGGCGCCCGCCGGGGACACCAAACUCUUGUUUUUUCAGUAUCUUCUGAGUGGCAUUAUAAAUGAAUCAAAACUUUCAACAACGGAUCUCUUGGUUCUGGCAUCGAUGAAGAACGCAGCGAAAUGCGAUAAGUAAUGUGAAUUGCAGAAUUCAGUGAAUCAUCGAAUCUUUGAACGCACAUUGCGCCCGCCAGUACUCUGGCGGGCAUGCCUGUUCGAGCGUCAUUUCAACCCUCAGGCCCCGGGCCUGGUGUUGGGGAUCGGCCGCCGGCGCCUCACCGCGCCGGCCGUCCCCCAAAUGCAGUGGCGGUCACGCUGCGGCAUCCCCUGCGUAGUAGCACAACUCGCACCGGAUCGCAGCGCGGCCACGCCGUAAAACGACCCAACUCUGAAAUGUUGACCUCGGAUCAGGUAGGGAUACCCGCUGAACUUAA